GAUGAACGCUGGCGGCGUGCUUAACACAUGCAAGUCGAGCGAAGCGGAUAUGCGGAAUUUUUCGGAAGGAAGCAUAGCUGACUGAGCGGCGGACGGGUGAGUAACGCGUGGAUAACCUGCCUCAUACAGGGGGAUAACAGUUAGAAAUGACUGCUAAUACCGCAUAAGCGCACAGAGAUGCAUGUCUCAGUGUGAAAAGCUGAGGCGGUAUGAGAUGGAUCCGCGUCUGAUUAGCUGGUUGGCGGGGUAGAGGCCCACCAAGGCGACGAUCAGUAGCCGACCUGAGAGGGUGGCCGGCCACAUUGGGACUGAGACACGGCCCAA
rnacentral:rRNA from 1 species